AUUGAACGCUGGCGGCAGGCUUAACACAUGCAAGUCGAGCGGAGAUGAGGUGCUUGCACCUUAUCUUAGCGGCGGACGGGUGAGUAAUGCUUAGGAAUCUGCCUAUUAGUGGGGGACAACAUUCCGAAAGGAAUGCUAAUACCGCAUACGCCCUACGGGGGAAAGCAGGGGAUCUUCGGACCUUGCGCUAAUAGAUGAGCCUAAGUCGGAUUAGCUAGUUGGUGGGGUAAAGGCCUACCAAGGCGACGAUCUGUAGCGGGUCUGAGAGGAUGAUCCGCCACACUGGGGCUGAGACACGGCACAGACUCCUACGGGAGGCAGCAGUGGGGAAUAUUGGACAAUGGGCGGAAGCCUGAUCCAGCCAUGCCGCGUGUGUGAAGAAGGCCUUUUGGUUGUAAAGCACUUUAAGCGAGGAGGAGGCUACCUGGAUUAAUACUCUAGGAUAGUGGACGUUACUCGCAGAAUAAGCACCGGCUAACUCUGUGCCAGCAGCCGCCGUAACAC
rnacentral:rRNA from 1 species